AGCAUAUCAAUAAGCGGAGGAAAAGAAACUAACAAGGAUUCCCCUAGUAACUGCGAGUGAAGCGGGAAAAGCUCAAAUUUAAAAUCUGGCAGUCUUUGGCUGUCCGAGUUGUAAUCUAGAGAAGUGUUAUCCGCGCUGGACCGUGUACAAGUCUCCUGGAAUGGAGCGUCAUAGAGGGUGAGAAUCCCGUCUUUGACACGGACUGCCAGGGCUUUGUGAUGCGCUCUCAAAGAGUCGAGUUGUUUGGGAAUGCAGCUCAAAAUGGGUGGUAAAUUCCAUCUAAAGCUAAAUAUUGGCGAGAGACCGAUAGCGAACAAGUACCGUGAGGGAAAGAUGAAAAGAACUUUGGAAAGAGAGUUAAACAGUACGUGAAAUUGCUGAAAGGGAAACGCUUGAAGUCAGUCGCGUUGUCCAGGGAUCAACCUUGCUUUUGCUUGGUGUACUUUCUGGUUGACGGGUCAGCAUCAAUUUUGACUAUUGGAAAAAUUUCAAGGGAAUGUGGCAUCUUCGGGUGUGUUAUAGCCCUUUUUUGUAUACAAUGGUUAGGAUUGAGGAACUCAGCACGCCGCAAGGCCGGGUUUUUAACCACGUACGUGCUUAGGAUGCUGGCAUAAUGGCUUUAAUCGACCCGUCUUGAAACACGGACCAAGGAGUCUAACAUACCUGCGAGUGUUUGGGUGGAAAACCCGAGCGCGCAAUGAAAGUGAAAGUUGAGAUCCCUGUCAUGGGGAGCAUCGACGCCCGGACCAGACCUUUUGUGACGGCUCCGCGGUAGAGCAUGUAUGUUGGGACCCGAAAGAUGGUGAACUAUGCCUGAAUAGGGUGAAGCCAGAGGAAACUCUGGUGGAGGCUCGUAGCGAUUCUGACGUGCAAAUCGAUCGUCAAAUUUGGGUAUAGGGGCGAAAGACUAAUCGAACCAUCUAGUAGCUGGUUCCUGC
rnacentral:rRNA from 2 species